ACCCUCUUCUAAUUAACUCCAUAGGAGGCUCCCUUAGCGGCCAUCUCAAGCCGGGUGCCUCCUGUGCUCUGGCCCAGCGACCAAACCAGCUACUUCCUUUUCCUGCUUCCGCUCCUCUCCUUGGGCCAAUCUCCUCCUACCUAGAGGGACCAUUUUUUUCUUUUUAUCUGCCAAAGCACUCUGUUUUUUUUAACAGAAAGAGUGCUAAAUUACCUUUCCCUCCCAACUUUGAUUACUCCAACUAAGGAUCCUAAUCGGUGAAACGUGGGUGUGUUCUUUUGGAAAUGCGUGUGUUUUCACGUCCAGGCAUAAGCAACGCCUUGUUUCAGGGAGCAGCGCCCACACAUUGGUUCAGGACUCCAUGCGUUUGGUAGAAGGCUUGCGGGCUUGGGGCUAGUGUUUUGGUUUUUCUUGCAAACAGUGACGGCUCAUCUAGUGUGCAGUCCUUGGUUCCCGCCCGGAGACUUCCCCGUUCCGCCUUCUCUUCUCUUCCUCGCCCGCAAGGCGCGCUGCCCCUGGGGUUUUCAGCAACUUCCGCAGACCCUCCGCCCGCAUCCCGGCGCGGCGGGGCCGGGGAAGCCCCAGGGCUCCCCAAGCGUUCAGAAGGAAACCAUCUAGGCUACAGACCUUGGAGCGCGGCUGGGGUCCCCCGGGAGCGGAUCGCGGGUCGCGCAGGUCAUUUCCCGGCGGGAACACCACCUCGUCUGAGCUGGGCGGCUUCUCCCGGUCCCCGGCUGCAGGAUGCUGGGCCCCCCGCUGCUCCCUUCCGCGUGGCGGCUCGGGCCGCCAACCGAUCGCCUCUUGCCUCCCCCACUUGAACUCCUGGGGAGACAGUGUUUGUAAAACUUGGCCCUGGCCCAGCCCCGUCCGCCCCACUUUGCCAACAAGAAGAGGGAGGGCAGCUCUGAGCGGCCUCGGGCGAACCUCGCCCCGCCUGCACUUAAGGCGCCGGGCCCAGCCCGCGCCUUCGGGUCUCCAGCCGGGACAGGCGCGCGGACUCCGCUUUGCCAGGGUGCGACCCUCACCUGGGAUUCCAGCUCUGAUAACCAGAUCUGCCUGUCGUCUACCCUCUCUCGGCCUCCCAGGAUCUGCCUGGACAAGGAGUGUGCUGGAAUGGCCCAGAAGGUCUGGGCUGUUCAACCUCCCCCUAAAGGGUUGGGGCGUCCGCCUCUGGAGCCUCAGAGAAUCUCCAUGUCUGGCGAAAACACUUAGAGAUGACAGCUCCCCAUUCUGAGAGCAGAGAGCUGUUUGCUGCCAGCUACACACCACCCCAGAGCCCAGGCUCCUCAUACG
ensembl:lncRNA